rnacentral:rRNA from 1 species
AAUGGGGAAACCCAGUGUGACUCGUCACACUAUCAUUAACUGAAUCCAUAGGUUAAUGAGGCGAACCGGGGGAACUGAAACAUCUAAGUACCCCGAGGAAAAGAAAUCAACCGAGAUUCCCCCAGUAGCGGCGAGCGAACGGGGAGGAGCCCAGAGCCUGAAUCAGCAUGUGUGUUAGUGGAAGCGUCUGGAAAGGCGCGCGAUACAGGGUGACAGCCCCGUACACAAAAGCGCAUGUG